GACGAACGCUGGCGGCGUGCUUAACACAUGCAAGUCGAGCGGAAAGGCCUCUUUCGGGGGGUACUCGAGCGGCGAACGGGUGAGUAACACGUGAGUAACCUGCCCUGGACUUUGGGAUAA
rnacentral:rRNA from 1 species